rnacentral:rRNA from 1 species
AUGAACGCUGGCGGCGUGCCUAAUACAUGCAAGUCGAGCGAACAGACGAGGAGCUUGCUCCUCUGACGUUAGCGGCGGACGGGUGAGUAACACGUGGAUAACCUACCUAUAAGACUGGGAUAACUUCGGGAAACCGGAGCUAAUACCGGAUAAUGUAUUGAACCGCAUGGUUCAAUAGUGAAAGACGGUUUUGCUGUCACUUAUAGAUGGAUCCGCGCCGCAUUAGCUAGUUGGUAAGGUAACGGCUUACCAAGGCAACGAUGCGUAGCCGACCUGAGAGGGUGAUCGGCCACACUGGAACUGAGACACGGUCCAGACUCCUACGGGAGGCAGCAGUAGGGAAUCUUCCGCAAUGGGCGAAAGCUUGACGGAGCAACGCCGCGUGAGUGAUGAAGGUCUUCGGAUCGUAAAACUCUGUUAUUAGGGAAGAACAAAUGUGUAAGUAACUAUGCACGUCUUGACGGUACCUAAUCAGAAAGCCACGGCUAACUACGUG